rnacentral:rRNA from 1 species
AGCGGCGGAUGGGUGAGUAACACGUGGGGAACCUGCCCCUAAGUCUGGGAUACCAUUUGGAAACAGGUGCUAAUACCGGAUAAUAAAGCAGAUCGCAUGAUCAGCUUUUGAAAGGCGGCGUAAGCUGUCGCUAAGGGAUGGCCCCGCGGUGCAUUAGCUAGUUGGUAAGGUAACGGCUUACCAAGGCGACGAUGCAUAGCCGAGUUGAGAGACUGAUCGGCCACAUUGGGACUGAGACACGGCCCAAACUCCUACGGGAAGCAGCAGUAGGGAAUCUUCCACAAUGGACGCAGGUCUGAUGGAGCAACGCCGCGUGAGUGAAGAAGGUUUUCGGAUCGUAAAGCUCUGUUGUUGGUGAAGAAGGAUAGAGGUAGUAACUGGCCUUUAUUUGACGGUAAUCAACCAGAAAGUCACGGCUAACUACGUGCCAGCAGCCGCGGUAAUACGUAGGUGGCAAGCGUUGUCCGGAUUUAUUGGGCGUAAGCGAGCGCAGGCGGAAAAAUAAGUCUAAUGUGAAAGCCCUCGGCUUAACCGAGGAACUGCAUCGGAAACUGUUUUUCUUGAGUGCAGAAGAGGAGAGUGGAACUCCAUGUGUAGCGGUGGAAUGCGUAGAUAUAUGGAAGAACACCAGUGGCGAAGGCGGCUCUCUGGUCUGCAACUGACGCUGAGGCUCGAAAGCAUGGGUAGCGAACAGGAUUAGAUACCCUGGUAGUCCAUGCCGUAAACGAUGAGUGCUAAGUGU